rnacentral:tRNA from 1 species
GGAGCUUUGGCAGACGUGGUGUAUGCGUCGGACUGAAAAUCCGAAGAACGUGGUUCAAUUCCGCGAGGCUCCG